AGCAGCCGCGGUAAUUCCAGCUCCAAUAGCGUAUAUUAAAGUUGUUGCAGUUAAAAAGCUCGUAGUUGAAUUUCGGGAUUAGUAAGUUGGUCGUGCCUCUGGUAUGUACUGGCUUUACUGGUUCCUCCUUCUUGAAGAACUGUAAUGUCAUUAAUUUGGUGUUGCAGGGAAACAGGACUGUUACUUUGAAAAAAUUAGAGUGUUUAAAGCAGGCUAACGCUUGAAUACAUUAGCAUGGAAUAAUGAAGUAGGACGUUUGAUCCUAUUUUGUUGGUUUCUAGGAUUGACGUAAUGAUUAAUAGGGAUAGUUGGGGGCAUUAGUAUUCAAUUGUCAGAGGUGAAAUUCUUGGAUUUAUUGAAGACUAACUACUGCGAAAGCAUUUGCCAAGGAUGUUUUCAUUAAUCAAGAACGAAAGUUAGGGGAUCGAAGACGAUCAGAUACCGUCGUAGUCUUAACCAUAAACUAUGCCGACUAGGGAUCGGAUGAUGUUAAUUUUUUAAUGACUCAUUCGGCGCCUUA
rnacentral:rRNA from 1 species